AGCGAACGCUGGCGGCAGGCCUAACACAUGCAAGUCGAGCGCCCCGCAAGGGGAGCGGCAGACGGGAGAGUAACACGUGGGAACGUACCCUUCAGUACGGAACAACCAAGGGAAACUUUGGCUAAUACCGUAUACGUCCGUAAGGAGAAAGAUUUAUCGCUGAAGGAUCGGCCCGCGUCUGAUUAGCUAGUUGGUGAGGUAACGGCUCACCAAGGCGACGAUCAGUAGCUGGUCUGAGAGGAUGAUCAGCCUCACUGGGACUGAGACACGGCCCAGACUCCUACGGGAGGCAGCAGUGGGGAAUAUUGGACAAUGGGCGCAAGCCUGAUCCAGCCAUGCCGCGUGGGUGAUGAAGGCCCUAGGGUUGUAAAGCCCUUUCGGCGGGGAAGAUAAUGACGGUACCCGCAGAAGAAGCCCCGGGCUAACUUCGUGCCAGCAGCCGCGGUAAU
rnacentral:rRNA from 1 species